CAGCUGUGUGAGCUGUGGCAGGGACACAGCAGGCUGAGUCUGAGCUCCAGGCUGGAGGGCAGAUGCAGGAAGUGGCCUGAGCACAUGGCCCAGCAUUGCAUAGCAAGGACUAUGGUCCCCUGUGUUUGGAAAGUACCCAGCAUACUGGGCACCACUGCCAUCUAAAUAAUAACACCAUCACCUGUGAGGGUUGGAAGUGACCAUUUUGAAGACAAAGUGGAUGUGGAAUGAGCAUUGUGCAGAAGGAAUCAUUACUGUAAACGGGAAAGAAAUCAAGGAAGUCGACAAAUAUAUUUACCUGGGUCAGCAGUUGAGCAGAGACUACUCAUUCGAAGGAGAAUUCAGUAGGAGGCGAAAGGCGGCGUGAGCAAGUUUCAACAAAAUAAAGAUGUCUCUAAUGGAUAAUGAACUGCCCAUGAAGAAAAGGAAAGAACUGUUUAACUCCACUGUUCUGCCAGCAAUGAUAUAUGGAGCAGAAAGCUGGUCAACAAUGAAAGUGGAGGAAGAAAAAUUUGCUGUCACCCAGAGAGCAAUGGAAAGGCAAAUGUGUAAGAUAUCGCUCCGUGAUCAUAUACCAAAUGAGGAGAUCAGAAGAUGUGCAGAGGUGACCGAUGUAGUGCAGGCGAUGUAUGACGCAAAGCGAAGAUGAGCGUGUAGAUCAUGUAGACCACAGGCAAGACAAUAGGUGGACAGCCCACAUCAGUGACUGGAUCCUCAGAGACCACAAGUGAUCACUGGGCAGACCGAAACACGCUGGGCCAAUCUCAUGACAAAACUCUUUGGCCAGAAAUGGAAAGAACAUGCUCGCAACAAAAUAGAAUGGUGUGGCAUUGACUUGUGUUCAUGGAGGGACAGAUGAGGACAAGUCGGACAAAGGUGAUAUUCUCUAAGCAUUUCUAACAAAAACCUCAAAAUUGAAAAGCUGUUUUUGUUAAAAGGUCACCAUCGACCUGAAAUUUAGGGUUUAUCUAUGUACAAGGGUUUAGGGUUAAUCUAUGUAAAAAUUUAGGGUUAAUCUAUGUACAAUUUUCUAAACCAGUAUACUUAUGCUAUAAAUUGGUGCAGCCCCUAGCGUGGAUAUAGUUGUGUAUAUCAAUAUAAAAGUGCUUUUAUCAAACAUACUAUAGCCAUGUGUAGACCAGUUCUCAGUCAGCUUUAAAAAAAGUGUUGAAAAUAAUUUCAAGUAUUUUCUUUGUUCUGCAGUCUUCCUGCCAGUUGUUGGAGUUUUUACAAUAUUUUUUCAUUUUCCCCUCCCCUCUUUCUGUGUGAAAGGCUCUACACCAGUGGGUCCCCAAAAUGUGGGGUGUGCCCCUUGAGGGGGGCAUGCUGUGGGGCCCAGGCUAGCGCCCGGAUAGUCAGAGGGGAGCACCACCCAGCCCCAUUCUGCCCCCAGCCUGGCUCCAGCCCCAGCUCCACUCCGCCCCCUGCUUUGCCCCCAGCCACAGCUCCACUCUCCCCCCAGCCCAGCCCCAGCCCCAGCUCCACUCCACCUCCAGCCCAGGUCCAGCCCCAUGCUCCAGCCCCAAGCCAGCUCCGUUUCUAGCCCCAUCUCCACCCCCAUCCCCAAUUCUGACGCCAGCUUCCCCAUCAGCCCAACCACCUCUGCUGAGCCAACUGUGCAAUAGUGGAGUGGGGGAUAUAUCCAUUACUGGUAAUGGGGUGGAUGCAACAAGGAAAGUUUGGGCACUACUGCUCUACACAAACUGCAAGAGUAACCACUUAGGCUUCUCUACAGGGAAGAGACUGAGUGAAAUUGACUAUUCAUUAAUUUCUGUUAAAAGCAUGGAGUAAGCAAACUAAAAAACAUUGUUUUUCCUCCAAUGUCUUUAAGUUACAGUAAUCUUUGUUGUGAAUUACAACUGUAGGUACAAAAAUGUUCAGAUAGAAGUGUGACUUUUAAAUUGAUGGUGUCCUUUUAAAUAUCAAAUUAAAAACAUAACAAAAAGUCAUUGCUAUACUAAUGCUAAACUGGAAAUACUGACCUCCUCACCUCUCCAAAGACAUUUCUUCAACAGGAAUUCUAUCAAUGGAGUACUGUGACUAAUUUGUGAUUCUAAUACAAGAAUAGGAAUGAAUCCUAGAACUUGGGCUGAUUGGCAGAUCUGCAAAAAGUGAUAGCUGGGUCAACUAUCCAUCAAACAAAUGAGUGGUAAGUCAUUUGUAAUUUCUUCCAACAUCAUUCAGUUUUCACUAUAAUUUAAUUUUGUUGUGCAUAAGAGUGAUUUCUUGAAGAUAAAUAUCUGUGUCAUUUUAUAUUUUGUUCAGAACCCUGAA